GCCUGGGUGGCUCAGUCGGUUGAGCAUCCGACUUCGGCUCAGGUCAUGAUCUCACAGUUCGUGGGUUCGAGUCCUGUGUCAGGCU
rnacentral:tRNA from 1 species